ACACACACACACACACACACACACACACACACACACACACACACACACACACACACACACACACACACACACACACACAGACACAGAAAAAAAAAAGAAAAAAAAAAGGGCCCACUAGUCAUCCUUCACUAAUUUAAUAUCCAACAGCAUAUUCCCACCUAAAGCCCGCAGUGAUCCAAGGCUGUUCGUAUAGUGUCACUAACAACCCCCAUGUGUUUCAGGAGCCUAAGCAAAAGCCUCGUUGUUUUACAGACUCGGUUGCGCCAGACCCAUCCCAAGAAGUGUGGUUUGGCUGUAAGCUAGAGGGGACCUCAGUGUGUGGGGUAAUGAGGGGACGUAGCAACGCGAGUGCCCGGGCCCUUCGUCUCCGCCCUAGCCCCGUUCUUCUGCCAGCCUCCAGUGCCAAGCUUACAUCUCCCUCUGUAUCAGCCCGCCCAUGAAGAUGCUGCCAACGGGGUUCUUCUUCUUCGGACGAGUCGUCGCCUCCCUUUUUUUAAUAUGUAUAUGUAUAACUACAUAUAUGUGUGUUUAUAUGCAUAUAUAUAUAUAUAUAUAUAAUAUAUAUAUAUAUAUAUAUAUAUAUAUAUAUAUAUAUAUAUAUAUAUAUAUAUAUAUAUAUAUAUAUAUAUAUAUGUAUGUAUGUAUAUAUAUAUUUAUAUGUAUGUAUGUAUAUGUAUAUGUAUAUGUAUGUGUACAUAGAAAGAUCAUGGAAGGAUGGAAGCGGAUAUCAAGAAGAAGUUGCACAGUCCGUUCAUCUGUCAGAAGGCUGGAAUGAGUGUCAUAUCCUACCUUUCUGAUGUUGUGAUUAGAAAAAAGAAAGAAAAGAAUAGACUUAGAUUUUGCUGUUCCUUACAGGGGUUUUCCUAUGGUCUCGUAUGGACAAGAUUAACCAUGGAGCAUGUUUGUUCCCUUGUAUUUGAUACAGUAAAGAUGUUCUGACACACAAAAAUAGAAAAGAAUAUUGUCUCAUGUAUUGCUCUUUGUCCGAGAAUGUUCUGGAAAUUCUCGAGGAAUGAUUGCUAUCCAAGAAGGAAAAAAAAAAAGAAAUAAUCAAACGACAAGUGCUAUUGUGUAUGUAAUAUUUCAUGUACAUCUUGUAAUGUAUUGCAUUUCAUUGUGAAUCUUUAUGGUAAUUCUAAGAGUGUCUAUGUUUGAGAACUUGUCUUUUAUACAGUAACAUUAGUGUUCAACACUAACCAAAGGAGUGGCAAGACUCCAAUCAUCUAGGCUGUGAUGAGGUCCAGUUUACUCAAUUGGGGUUCUGAGUAGGCAGUCAUCAAGGAAGGACCAUUUUAUAUGGAUUCUUGUAUAUUCAUGGAAAUAUUGAGAAGUAUUUUGGUCAGAAUAUUAUUUUUAGAUUACCCUGAAUAGAGACUAUGAUCAAAAUUUUUAUCCCUGCUUAAGGAUUAGUUUUUUUUUUUCUUUUUUUUUCAUGAAUCUAAUUAGACGCAACCCUCGUCUUAAUACAGUGUAGUUUUUAUUGUGACAAGAAAAUUCUUCAAGCUCAAAUAAGCUCAAUUUAGCACUAACGUCCAAUCAUAGCCAAUGUCUUGAUUACAUCCAGCUUGACAAUCCUGGUUUAUAUUAUUAUGAUUCAUGAUGCUUAAGUGUAAGGAGUUAUAAUGAUAGGUGUGUGUCCGGUGAAGGAAUGACAGGAGGAGAGUCUCUCAUCCUUGUAUGAGCUGUUUGUAGUAGUGUACUGUUGUUACAAGCAACACUUUGUCCAGUUGCACUCUGGCUUGUCGCGAAAGGAAGAGAACAUUUCGCCGAAAAUGCCAGACAUCAGAUCCAUGAAAGGGAUCUUUGGACAUGAGUUCUGCAGGUGGACCAUCCUGUGUGCUGACUGUCUGUAGUUACGAGUUCCUUAAGACAUGUAGUAUUAUCUUUAUUGACCCUUUUUUUUUAGAAUUUUUUAUUCUUUUUUUUUUUUCUUUUUUUUUUCUUUUUUUUUUUUUCUUAACGAUGCCCCGUGUGUUUUUUAACAACGGACGUGAGCUCCCUCUAGCUAAAUUUUCUAUCCAUCUCCCUCUUGUUGUGGGAAACAUGAUAAAGGAUAACAUAGGUGACGAAGGAUAGGGACCAUCCAAGGUGUGCAAUACACAGAUAUCUGGGAACUGAUAGUUAUUUUAUGAUUAACAUUAGAUUUUUACACUCGAGUGCAAUACAUAACUUGUGUAAAAGUUCAUCAGUAUUUCUAUGGUUAUAAUAUUACCAAAAGCUUCAAAUCACUGCAUGUAGUGUGAAUAAUGAAUGUUUUAAAGAUUAUUCAGAGGGGCUUCAGGCAAGACGUGUAGCACAUCUAGGAAUAUUUGUUUGUACAUGUGUAUGAUUCAUAUGAUAAUACAAUUUAGUUGUCUUUUUUUAUGUAGGAAUAUUGUAAGAUCUUUUGAUUUUUUGGAUAAAAAAUGUAGCUAUGCAAUUUGCUAGGUUAAAGUGGACGACUGCUUUGGUGUAGUUUAGUACCUACAAUCUCAAUUUUUCCAUGUUAAUGUUAGUAAAACUUAUGCAAAUAAUCUGUAGUGAUUGCAGUAAAAUUUAUAUUUUACAUUAUAAUUUAUAUAUCUUUAUGAUACAUAUAUAACAUUACAUGUGAUGAGGGUGAGAGAUAUCACCAUGUCUACUUUCAUGGCAGAACAAACUUUCUAGCGGAACAUGGAAAUGGCCUACGGAAAAGUUGCAUUAGGCCUCCUGGUUUGCCCGACUGCCUUAUUAUCCACACUGAAAUAUUGUAGCUGCAUUAUGUAUAUUUUGUUAAUGUACAACUACCAGAGUUUAGUUGUAAAACAGAAGCGCACUUUGAGCCUCACCAAGUAUCAUGAAAGUGACAUGUUGUGUUCUGUUGAAUUGGAUAGAAUUCCUAUCGGAUAGAGGAACUUUUGGUUCCAAAGCUCCAUUCAUGAUUUUUUGUACAAAUUCAAAGCCAAUUUUUGUAAAUAUUGCUGACUUUUCAUACAAGUACCAAGCUAAGGCUUUUUUUUUUCUCUCUUUUCUUCUCUGUCUCUUUGAAUCAACAUUUUUCUAAAGAGUAAAAGUACAAAUUGGUAUUUUAGUAUUUUGUUUUUAUUGAUCAGGUUGUGCAAACGUUCGAAUUGAUAAGCAUUCUUUGGCGGUCUUUGGAGUUCCUCUCUCAGAUCACAGAGAUUUUUUUUUUUUUUUUUCAUUUCUGUAUAAAGCUGACAGAGUAAACCUUGGUCUCAGUAUGCAGUGAAUCACGGCAUCUUGUUUUGCAAAGGAAUCAUAGAGCUGCUCUUUGCACGGAGAAGGAUGAGAAGGAAGAAGAUAGCGCAAGAUUGACGUGCACAGAUGUAAGGACUUUGCUCUCAGCUCUUUACUCUACAGCUCUGCCAAGAAUGUAAAAGGCUGUCUAAGGCAAGUUUGUCAUGAUGUCAUUCAUCACCUGAACUCAAAAUAUGAAUUGUUCAACUUUUCAUAUCAAGAAAAAAAAAAAAAAAAAGGAGAAAAAUAUCUUUUAAAGAUACUGCCAGAGGCUCAACAUGUCUGUCUCAAAUUUUUUGUAUUGUCCCUCCACCCCCUUUUGAAUUAUAUGGAAGGAAAAAGGGUGAAAUUAGAAAUGACUGCUCAACCUCACAUAGAUUGUCUAUUACCCUGCGAUAUGAUGAUUAUUUUUUCUUUCUUUUGUUAUUAGUGUGUUACGUACAAGUUUGUUCCAUAGCAUGAUAGAAGUAAGCAUAAGAUAACUAGGUGAAGCUUCACUCAAGUAAUACCCAAAAUGUGUGAAUAAAUGUGAGAGAUAACAAAGAAGAGAGAAAGAGAGAGAAAACGAAACAAUUGACAGACUGUAGAGAAAAUUUAUUGUUCUGUAAAUAAGCUUACAUGCUAGUUAUAAGCAUGUAGAAAAAAUGAAAUGGCACAAAGAGAUUCUUUGUAGGGGAAUAUUUUCUGUAACUUUUUUUUUUCCCAUAAUGUAAUUUAAAAGAAUUUAUUUUGUAAGACUUUUUUUUUUUUUUUUUUUUGUCUCCUUCCCCCUACUUCUUUUGUUUUAACCUUCAGUUGCUUAAGAUCAGAUUUAUGUUUUUAAGUGUAAGGCAUAUUGUAAGAAACGUAUUAUGUCUUGUAUGUAUAUUUGGCAUCUUUCCUUGUGAAUACCUCAGCGAAUGGUGCAAGGUUUUCUGCCGUCUUGUGUUGUCAAUUCGGUCACGCGGCCACUGUAAGAUCAUUUUCCCUUCCUCCGUCUCUGUGUCGUGCUUUUGAUACAUUUUGUUCAAGUAUCUUUCCCGAAGAUUAAAUAAAAGAUGUUAAAAAAAAAAAGAACAAAAAAACAAUGACUUGAUGAGUCUUCCUGCCAAUUUAUCAAUCAUUUGAAUAUUAUAAUCUAUUUUGAUAUUGGAGCUGAAUUAUCAUUUGAUCCUGUUACCUAUUCAAUGUGAAACUUGCCAAAAUGGUGAUAAUGACGUCGCUUUAGAGUAAAGGUUGUUUCAUUGUUGGUGUCUGGGAUUAGUUCUUCUGUGGUGAGUAUUCAACUUUUUAUUGUAUAGGGUUCGGGCAGAACUCGUACAGGAAAGCAGUAUUUUAACUGUGUACUUUGUUUUUUUCUUUUUUCCUUCAUUUUUUUAUUUGUCAAUAUUUCUCUUGCUAAAAAUCAGAUAUUAGUGAUGUGAAAGUACAGAAGAUGUCUCCUGAUACGCCCUUCAAAAAAACAAAAGUAUUUAGCAAUGGUACCACUUUUAAUGGGGGGGGGGGGGGGGAAAUAGUUGAAAUUAGGCACCUCAGCAGAUAGGCUAAAACAUAUGGUUGCUGUCGAGUCCUGUGCAUGACAUGGUUAUCUUUGUGUGCUAUUUUUUUCUAAUUUUGAUAAAAAGAUAAUAGGUCUCAGGAUGUUAUGAUAUUGUGUCUGGGUUUCAUUCAUUUAUUUGGUGUUGAAAUGAAAGUUUAUGCAUCAUUCUGAAUGCAAAGGGAGCAGAUUAUAGGGAUAAUAUUAAAUGAAUUCAGGUGAAAAAAAAAAAAAAUCUCCCUACUUCAAUGCAGUUAAUUUUUUACCGAUUCUUUUCAUAUGCUACCAGUCCUUCAUAUACUGUUAUGAUAUAACAAGGUUGUGAAAUACUGCACAAAUGAUAGGUGUUACUGCCUCUAAUUUGAUGUAGCAGCACUGACUGCAGGCUUAGGAAUGUGACCAACAAUAAUUACAUUUAACACUAGUGACAUGGCCCUCAAAACUCCCUAUUGGUAAAUGUGAAAAUGUAUAUUAUUAGUAGACUCCCUGUAUCAACUUUUCCUUUCAACAAUUCAUAGGAAAUUGGAAUACUCUCGCAGGUUUGCCUUUUUAAUUUUAUUUAGUUAUUAUCAUUGUUGUUAUUAUUAUUUUUAUGUUAUUUUGCACAAUGUGGGUAGAAUAAUCAGCCUAUUGUAAUGUGAUUUUUUAUUCAUAGUUCUUAGGUAGAGAUUAGAAUGAAAAAAUGCAAUUGAAACAGCACAAGAUUGUCUAUUUAUUUACACAUCAUUUUAACACAUAAUAUGUGAUUAUGUUUUAGAAGUCUGAAAAUGUUAUUGUGUGCCACAGAAUGAAAUAUUUAGUCUCUAUAAUCUUGUUCAUUCAUAUUAGGAUAGUAAUAAAGAAUAUAUACUAGAAAUGAAAA
rnacentral:lncRNA from 1 species